GCACGCAGGCACCGCCACCCCUCCACCACCACGGGGCCGCCGCUGCUGCCCGCACCCUCCGUGUCCCUGCGCUGCCGCAAGCGCAGCCGGCCCCGCUCGUCGCCCCGGUCCUCACGGCAGUCCAGCCCCCCACCAUCCCUCUCUGCCCACCUCUGCCCCCCACGAUCUUUGCAUGCCCUGACGCUGAGAGCGGCCCAUAUUGCCUUCCCCAAAACACCCAGACGUACUGCCAUACCCACCGACCGCAGCCAGCCCCUUGUCCCGUGUCCCCAUCCACGGCACGGCCGGAGCGCCCACCCCAAGUCAGCCGCGGCUACCCCGGUGCCUUCACUUCCCGGCUACCCUGUGCAUCCACCCACAACCCACAUUCGCAGCAGUAUCACACCCCGAAUGCCGAGCUCCCAUCCGUACCGAAACCCCGUCCCUUCGCACAGCCAGAGCACCCGUCCUUUCCCGGUGAGGCUGGUGUGAAUCCGUGGGAGCGAAGCAGUGCCAGGGGCUCUUGUUGGGAACAUGUGUGAAAACUUGCCUUACCGCGGCUAAGUGCAUCACGGACAUUUUCUUCAAAAGCACAUGGGUAUGAGCUGCCCAUUGAUACAUUUAAGCUAAAAAUGAGAUGAUUUUUAAACAUAAGAAAAUGUAUUAUUUGAAAAGUACUUUCAGUAGAGGUAACAGGACAGAAACAAUAAUUACCGUUAGGAUGGAGCUCUUCACAUUUCCAGAAAGAGCAAACUGAUGUGGUAGUGUUUGCAAUAUGGGACAAGAUCUGAUGGCCAGGAAGUUCCAUCGGUCCUAUGUGGUGUGCUCUAGACUAACCCCAGGUUCUGGGAGCAGAGUUGCUAUGAAGCUCUGACGUAACAGGACUUUAAGGAAGAAUAGAAAGUGUCCAUCCUUGCUGGUGGCCUGAAGCCACCUGAAAAAACUGGAGGAAAAUCAGAUGAGCUCUGAUGUGAGUUGAAAAAAAUCUUCAAUCAAGAACAAAAAUCUGUUAGAUCUGCAGACCCUGAUAGCCAAGAACCUGUUGCAGAGGUGGGCAGGAGCUGAGAUGUGUAACAAUGCAUUUAUAUGAAAGACGAGAAUACGAGCACAUGAACAAGAAGAGUAUCAGUGCCUUGGUGAAUGCUGAAUGCCUGAGGCAUAGGCACUGUAAACAUACCGAGUACUGGAGCAAGUGAUAUACAGUGACUUGGAAAAAGAGACAGGCAGAGACACAGAUAAAUGUUUCCAUUCCUGGGAGCACUCGCAGCCUGAGAAGACACAGCAGAUCACAGAGUAUGGUGGAGCAGAAGGAAACACUGUGUGAGAGGGUCAGAUUUUCCAUGUGAGAUAUUUCAUUUAAUUCUCAGACAGAUUUCACUUUGUGGGUCUGUUUCCAAGAGAUCAUUUUCUACAUAUAACAGAUUACAGAUUCCCCUAGUUUCUCUCAUGUGCAUGAGAUGCCCUGUAGAACAGAUAUCAGUUACAUAGCAAAUUGACUAUACUGUGUACAGCUUUUUUUUAAUCCAGUCAAUUACCUGGCCUCAUGUAGAGAAAAUUAGCAGUAGUAUUAGAUAGUUUCCUCUGUUUCUUAUGGACAGAACUACACAUGUUUUACAUCUGAGGGGUGGAUGAUGCCCAGGAAUGCUGUGAAGCUUUUGAUGCCUGCAUACUUACCUGUCUGUUCCUAAGCUUCUUGACCCAAGCACAGAGCUACAGCCAAUUUGUUCACAAACAUCACUGCAGUUUGUCAGGCAGACAAUACAUCUCCCAUACGGGGGCAGGGAAAGGGCUGGUUGCAGCUUUCAUUAACAUGUCAUAAAACCUCUUUCAAGAUAAAAAAUACUAAUUUUAUUCUCUCUAUUCAUAAAGCAUAACUGCUCAGUCAGAAGGUGAUUGUGUUAAUAAACAUUUUUGGCACAUUUAA